rnacentral:rRNA from 1 species
CCUACGGGAGGCAGCAGUGAGGAAUAUUGGUCAAUGGGCGUAAGCCUGAACCAGCCAAGUCGCGUGAGGGAUGAAGGUUCUACGGAUUGUAAACCUCUUUUAUAAGGGAAUAAAGUGCGGGACGUGUCCCGUUUUGUAUGUACUUUAUGAAUAAGGAUCGGCUAACUCCGUGCCAGCAGCCGCGGUAAUACGGAGGAUCCGAGCGUUAUCCGGAUUUAUUGGGUUUAAAGGGAGCGUAGACGGCUUGUUAAGUCAGCGGUGAAAGUCUGUGGCUCAACCCUAAAAUUGCCAUUGAUACUGGGAGGCUUGAGUAUGGUUGAGGCAGGCGGAAUGCGUGGUGUAGCGGUGAAAUGCUUAGAUAUCACGCAGAACCCCGAUUGCGAAGGCAGCCUACCAAGCCAUGACUGACGCUGAGGCACGAAAGCGUGGGGAUCAAACAGGAUUAGAUACCCGGGUAGUC